rnacentral:rRNA from 1 species
GAGUGAACGCUGGCGGUAGGCCUAACACCUGCAAGUCGAACGGCAGCACAGUAAGAGCUUGCUCUUACGGGUGGCGAGUGGCGGACGGGUGAGGAAUACAUCGGAAUCUACUUUUUCGUGGGGGAUAACGUAGGGAAACUUACGCUAAUACCGCAUACGACCUACGGGUGAAAGCAGGGGAUCUUCGGACCUUGCGCGAUUGAAUGAGCCGAUGUUGGAUUAGCUAGUUGGCGGGGUAAAGGCCCACCAAGGCGACGAUCCGUAGCUGGUCUGAGAGGAUGAUCAGCCACACUGGAACUGAGACACGGUCCAGACUCCUACGGGAGGCAGCAGUGGGGAAUAUUGGACAAUGGGCGCAAGCCUGAUCCAGCCAUACCGCGUGGGUGAAGAAGGCCUUCGGGUUGUAAAGCCCUUUUGUUGGGAAAGAAAAGCAGCAGGUUAAUACCCCGCUGUUCUGACGGUACCCAAAGAAUAAGCACCGGCUAACUUCGUG